rnacentral:rRNA from 1 species
UACAGAGGGGGCAAGCGUUAUUCGGAAUUAUUGGGCGUAAAGGGCGCGUAGGCGGCCUGGCAAGUGGGAGGUGAAAUCCCUCGGCUUAACCGAGGAACUGCCCUCCAGACUGCUUGGCUUGAGUCCGGGAGAGGUGAGUGGAAUUCCCAGUGUAGCGGUGAAAUGCGUAGAUAUUGGGAGGAACACCAGUGGCGAAGGCGGCUCACUGGACCGGAACUGACGCUGAGGCGCGAAAGCGUGGGGAGCAAACGGG